UCCCUAGUAGCGGCGAGCGAGCGGGAAGAGCUCAAAUUUAUAAUCUGGCACCUUCGGUGUCCGAGUUGUAAUCUCUAGAAGUGUUUUCCGCGUUGGACCGCACACAAGUCUGUUGGAAUACAGCGGCAUAGUGGUGAAACCCCCGUAUAUGGUGCGGACGCCCAGCGCUUUGUGAUACACUUUCAAUGAGUCGAGUUGUUUGGGAAUGCAGCUCAAAUUGGGUGGUAAAUUCCAUCUAAAGCUAAAUAUUGGCGAGAGACCGAUAGCGAACAAGUACCGUGAGGGAAAGAUGAAAAGCACUUUGGAAAGAGAGUUAACAGUACGUGAAAUUGUUGGAAGGGAAACGCUUGAAGUCAGACUUGCUUGCCGGAGCUUGCUUCGGUUUGCAGGCCAGCAUCAGUUUUCCGGGGUGGAUAAUGACGGUUUGAAGGUAGCAGUCUCGGCUGUGUUAUAGCUUUCCGUUGGAUACAUCCUGGGGGACUGAGGAACGCAGCGUGCUUUUUGCGAAAGACUCGUCUUUUUCACGCUUAGGAUGCUGGUGGAAUGGCUUUAAACGACCCGUCUUGAACCACGGACCAU
rnacentral:rRNA from 1 species